GAUGAACGCUAGCUACAGGCUUAACACAUGCAAGUCGAGGGGAAACGAUAGAGAAAGCUUGCUUUUUCUAGGCGUCGACCGGCGCACGGGUGAGUAACGCGUAUCCAACCUGCCCAUCACUUGGGGAUAACCUUGCGAAAGUAAGACUAAUAUCCAAUGACGUCUCUAGAAGACAUCUCAAAGGGAUUAAAGAUUUAUCGGUGAUGGAUGGGGAUGCGUCUGAUUAGCUUGUUGGCGGGGUAACGGCCCACCAAGGCGACGAUCAGUGAGGGGUUCUGAGAGGAAGGUCCCCCACAUUGGAACUGAGACACGGUCCAAACUCCUACGGGAGGCAGCAGUGAGGAAUAUUGGUAAAUGGACGAGAGUCUGAACCAGCCAAGUAGCGUGCAGGAUGACGGCCCUAUGGGUUGUAAACUGCUUUUAUAAGGGAAUAAAGUGAGAGUCGUGACUCUUUUUGCAUGUACCUUAUGAAUAAGGACCGGCUAAUUCCGUGCCAGCAGCCGCCGCUG
rnacentral:rRNA from 1 species